AGUCUCUCCCCUCUUUCGUCAUUCCCCAGAUUGUCAAUCCUCCACAGUCAGCGAGUUGCCUAGAGCACAUGCAUGUCGGACCCUCCCAAGUAUUCCUAUCAACCAUUGACUAGUCAGCCACCGAACCACGCGACGGAUGACCCUCCCCACUAUUCCGAUGCACCCUCGACUACUCAGCCACCGAACCACUACGUUUAUCCUCAACAUGUCUACCCAAUGUAUCUCUCAUAGCAUCAAGUUGUGACCCACUUCCAGGGAACGAUUACUUUGGACUGUCUGUCUUCACUUUGCUGUUCUGCUGCUUUCCAAUUGGAAUAUUUGCUCUGCUGAACUCGUUAAAGGUUCGCAAAGCUAUCACUGCUGGUGAUGAAUUUAGUGCAACUGAAGCGUCUACUAAUGCUCGACGACUGAACAUCGUUGGAAUUUUAUGUGGCGUCUUUAUCUUCGUCAUCUUAAUUAUUGUGUCCUGUGUAUAUGUGGCGAAUAAGUCUUCUUGCUAUAACGACAGUAAUGGUCACGAGAUAUGUUAAUCGCAGAGAAGAAUACAAUCUAUCUGACUUAAGCAAUUUUGUUAUUAGAUAAACUGAAAACGCUGGAAUUUUUUUAUGUUGACCGUCAUUUCUAAUGUUGUGUUUGUGCGAUUGUAGUUGAUUUCUUAGCUAUAUUACACAUAUGCAGCGACUUGUUUGCAAACUGUAACUGUCUAAUUUUUUUUCAGGCCAAAAUAUUGGUCUAAACGUA